rnacentral:rRNA from 1 species
UCUCAGUUCGGACUGGAGUCUGCAACCCGACUCCACGAAGCUGGAUUCGCUAGUAAUCGCGCAUCAGCCACGGCGCGGUGAAUACGUUCCCGGGCCUUGUACACACCGCCCGUCACACCAUGAGAGUUUGUAACACCCAAAGCCGGUGGGGUAACCUUUUGGAGCCAGCCGUCUAAGGUGGGACAGAUGAUUGGGGUGAAGUCGUAACAAGGUAUC